ensembl:misc_RNA Metazoa_SRP Metazoan signal recognition particle RNA
GCUUGGUGUGGUGACACAAGUCCCUGCUGCUGGGAAGACUGAGGCUGGUGAAUCACUUGAAUUCAGGAAUUCUGAACUACAGUAAGAGCUAACACUGAUUGGUUUUCUCCACUAAGUACAGCACUAGUAUGGUGAGCACCUGGGAACAGAGCACCACCAGGCUGCCUUAGGAGGGAUGAACUAGGCCAGGUCAGAAAAAAGGCAAGUUAAAACUUCCAUGCUGAUCAAUAUUGGGAUUAAACCCAUAAGUGGCUCUCAUCUCCAGCUGAAUGAGAUAGAAAGACUUUGUCACUA